UUGAGCCGAUUUUUGUGGAAUUUGAAAUUUGGAUUAAGUGUCAGGUGUUAAUACCACGUUCUAUUACUUGGAGAUUUAAACUGGAUAAUAAGGUGUUCACUUGUUUGUAAACUUGGUUCAAAGCCAUUAUGAACUAAUUAACAGCUGUGAAAUUAUUAUUUUCUAAUUGAAUUAUUUGUCUUUAAGAUCAACAAGACUAUUCUGGUGCUUAUACAUAUGAAAGGAUUGAUGUGGAGGGAUCUUUCCAUACUGAAUGGUUCAAGCUUGCCAAACAGUGUAAGAUAAGUUUUGGAGGGAGGUUGGGUUUCAAGACUGAACAUGGAAGUGGACAGAGGAAUUCAUUAGUACCAAAGAAAACCUUAGUAAAUCUUGGUUGUGUAUAAACUGCACAAUUUAUAAUCAUAUUAAUUUAUGAGACAUUAUUUGUAUAGUCAAUGGAAAAGAGUAGGCAUUGACAUUA